rnacentral:rRNA from 1 species
UACGGAAGGGGCAAGCGUUGUUCGGAAUCAUUGGGCGUAAAGGGCGCGUAGGCGGCGUGUCAAGUCAGGCGUGAAAGCCCCGGGCUCAACCUGGGAACCGCGCUUGAGACUGGCAUGCUCGAGUUCGGGAGAGGAUGGUGGAAUUCCCAGUGUAGAGGUGAAAUUCGUAGAUAUUGGGAAGAACACCGAUGGCGAAGGCAGCCAUCUGGACCGACACUGACGCUGAGGCGCGAAAGCGUGGGGAGCAAACAGG